CGGGCCUGGUCUCUGGCUCUCUCUCCUCAAUCCUCCAAAAAUCUCAAAUGCCUCUCAGAUGAAAAUCCUCAGCAAUCUUAACAACCUUGUUGAACCCAUCCUGCAUGGACUCUUCCACAAGCUUCUGCUCAUUAGCCUUCACUUUGGUAAGGCCAUACUCGACGAGAGCCAAUUUUGUCUCGAUAUUCUCUAGUCGAUUAAGAAGUAAAGCCUUUAACUUUUCACCUAAUCCAGAUCUCAGGAGAGAGCAAAUUGAUCAUUCUUAACAAACUGAAGCACCUCUUUGAAGCGUAAAAGCUUGAUAUCGAUUCUAGCAACAUAAGUAGUAUGGCUUUUUCUAGUGUGCUCCAAAUCCUCAUAGACUUUGGUAAUAUUAGCUACUAAAAGAGCUUCCUAUCAGCCAAAGCCUUAGAACUUUUGCUUAUCUAUUCAUAUCUUCUCAUCUCCUUCUUAACUUCUCCUAACAUCCUUCGGAAAGCUCUUGUUGCUUUUCUAAAGAGUCUAACUUUUGUCCAAUUUAUAAGCUCAUAGGAUGUAGACCUCGUACUCUGCCUACUAAUCAUGUUGAAAGACAGCAGCUCACGAGAAUUGAGCACCAACUUGAUUAUCCCUUUGCUUUGUAGUCAUAUUCUCUACAAAUUUUUUCCAGGUGGAGCUAAAAUAAAAAAAAAGUAUAUCUAGCUACCCCAGAGACAAAAUCAUGAAUCAAUGAUAAAGCUUUGGGGUAUAGUUCCCAACUAUGGUGGGCAUUAAAUAAAGCCUAGGAAUCUACAGUAUGUUCAAAUCCCUUCGACAUUUUUCUCUCUCUCUUCGUAGGAUUUCUUGUCAAAAAUCGGAGAUUGGGACCUAAAUACAAGCGAACUUCCUGCCUUUUUUUCAUGGCAUCAAGAUUAACAUAACCCCCAUUUAUCACGAAUAAGGAAAAUACUCGUUUUCUAUCUACAGUAUUAGAAACAAAAGAUUCAUAAAGAAAAAGGGACUGAAAAUCCUAUAUUUGGCAAAGAUUCAUAAAAAGCUACAUAACUAUAAGAUGAAAGGUUUAAAGCGAUUUGGGGCACAACAAAGUUACAAUCUCAUUCUGCCUAGUGAAGAUGAAAGAAGUUCCCAAAAUCGCUCACUUCCUCAGAACAUGCGUACUAGACUAACCUUUCUAACCCGAAUGCUUCAACGAAGUCUUUAACCCUAAGUUGGGAAUAGACACCCAACGUAACCCUAGAGGUUACAAAGGAAGUUUUUCGAUUAACUCAACUUCAAAGUUCUGAACUUCUUUAAAGAAAAACUAUCAGGCCAAGGUCAUCGUCAAAGCAAGAAUGUCCUAAG
rnacentral:lncRNA from 1 species